rnacentral:rRNA from 1 species
CCUAUGGGAGGCAGCAGUGGGGAAUAUUGGACAAUGGGGGGAACCCUGAUCCAGCCAUGCCGCGUGUGUGAAGAAGGCCCUCGGGUUGUAAAGCACUUUCAGUGAGGAAGAACGCCUGGUGGUUAAUACCCAUCAGGAAAGACAUCACUCACAGAAGAAGCACCGGCUAACUCCGUGCCAGCAGCCGCGGUAAUACGGAGGGUGCGAGCGUUAAUCGGAAUUACUGGGCGUAAAGCGCGCGUAGGUGGCUUGAUAAGCCGGUUGUGAAAGCCCCGGGCUCAACCUGGGAACGGCAUCCGGAACUGUCAAGCUAGAGUGCAGGAGAGGAAGGUAGAAUUCCCGGUGUAGCGGUGAAAUGCGUAGAGAUCGGGAGGAAUACCAGUGGCGAAGGCGGCCUUCUGGACUGACACUGACACUGAGGUGCGAAAGCGUGGGUAGCAAACAGGAUUAGAUACCCCUGUAGUC